rnacentral:lncRNA from 1 species
GCAGAGCAGAGGAAUGACCCAUGGAAAUCUCACUGCCGCAUUGGGGUGCUCAAUCCAGGGAAACAUUCAAAGCUGCUCCUGUCUGUCAGCUAAAGAUGACAAAUAUUUAUCAUCUCUGGACACCCCUCCAGCCUCUGAAAUAUGUACUCCAGUCAUGAAGCAGAGAAUGUUAUAGAGAAGACAAAGAAUUAAAUGAACCUUCUGAGGACUUCAAGCCUGGGAAGCAGCCUCUCAGACAGCUCCGCCUGCUCCAAAAGAGGUAAAGGAGAAGCCAGAAUAUAUAGGAAUUUUACAACAAAAAAACAGGUGCUAAAUCCCAGCCAUACAUCAGUGCUCUAUCAUUACAAGUCAAGGUCUAUUUCUGGGAGUGACUGUGUGUCUGACCAAAGAGAUGAGUUAUCGAGGAAGAAGGCCUCCCUCGUCUAGGACACCAUUUUCUGGAAAAAAAUGAACAUCUGUAAGGACAGCCAGCUAGGCUGUUACAAGGCCUCCUCCUUCCAUCACCCCACAGGGAGUAAAUCUGGGCAGGGAAGGACCCAGCCAGAUGUGGAUGUCUGCAUGCUGCUGGGGCAACAUCCGCAUUUUUACAGAAAAAGACAGAUACCAUAUGAUCUCACUUGCACAUGGAAUCUAAAAACAAACAAAACAACUACCUCACAGAUACAGAAAACAGAUUGGUGGCUGCCAGAGCUGCUGCUUGCACAGUUGGAAUAACGUGCCACUAUGAGGUGGCUACUUCGUGAACCGGAGGUUCUCAUUCAGAGUAUAAAUUCAGAGGAAAGACAUCUUCAGGUAAAGAAGGAACAGAAAAUACCAAGUGGUUCUCCACAGGGACCUGUAUGUUUUUCACUACCUAUGGGAGGGAAGUGAAAACCUGUGUUUAGGGAUCCAUUGAAGAAUUUGGUGGUAUUCAUCCUAGUUCAGAGCAACCCCAUGCUGAGCAGAUUGCAUUCCAUCAUGAAAUAAUUGGUAUAGAGGACCUUGAAUAGGCAUGCUCUAUACUUCCAGCAUUUAGUAAAACUCAAAUGGCAGCUGUAAUGACAUUAGUUUAUCACUUCUCAUUCAUCAAAGACUAAAAGUAUUGGAGAAAUUCAUUGGAUAAUAUAACAUCCAUUACACCUUGACUCUGUAUCAGUGAUCAAAGGUGUAAAUACCAUAAGCACGACACUGAUGUUUAUACUCCAAAGUUUGACACCUCACGUUGGGCACAGGAAUAUUAAAAUGUUCUUAGCUAUAAUUCCUCUCCAAAUGUAAAAUUAAUCAUCAAGGCUUUCGAUAGCUUUACUUACUAUGCUGCACCUUAUUUUUUACAACAACCUAAGGAAAUACUCUAGCUACUGAGGCAGUGUUAUUGUAUGCCAAAAGGUGGAGGAGACUGCUAAUAAAGCAAAACCAACCCAAACCAAACCACCACCAACAACAAAACCCAGAAAACCAACUACUGAUAAUGCAGAGGUAAGUUUUUAUUAGGGGUUCUAAAGUGACAUAUGCCAGCUAAAUUAAACUUUUUAAGAUGGUGGAUUAGCCACAGAGUGAAAUCUUUCACACAGACCUCAAAGAAAUCAUAGAAAAGAGUUUUUUAAAAAAUGAUUAAAUACAUAUUUAUGCUUGGAAACCAAAGAAGAGAAUCUCUACAGAUUAGAAAGACAUACCUCAAAAUAGGAAACAAAUAGGAAGCGACAGUGGUAAAAAGAGGCCAAUGCUUUCAGAAAACUAUACUGGUCUAAAGGCAUAUAUAUACACAUAUAUAGGUACAUGUGUAUGUGUGCACACACAUUUGCAGGAAAGAUUUUAUGAAACAUACCAUCUAGUUGUUUAUACUACAAGGGUCAUUUAAAACCUGAACUUUAGGUUCUCCAAAUUUAGGUUAAUAUUGUUGAGAUUUAGGUGAUGUCCUAAGGAGAUCAUUUAGAAUUCAUGAUGGACAAAAAAGUCAUUCUUAGAAAAUGAAAAAACAAGAGCAAGACACCAAGCAUCUGAAAAUCUAACAUGUGAAGGAAGGAAAACACAAUGCACUUAUGGAAGAGUUUAAACUUGGAAAGAAGAGAAAUAAUGCAGCAAUUUGAAAAUGUUUUUAAUAUGUGUAUCUAGUACCCAGGAAGAUAGCAAAUAAAGAUAUAAAUAGUUAUUUGCUUUUUUUAUAAAAAAAAUAUAGAAAAUAUGCUAUUGACCAAUGCCAGGCACAUAUUAAACACUUUAUGAAAUUCAGCCAUUAUUUUCUUUCACUAUAAUUUUGGCUUCAUGAAAGCAGAGAAUUUUGUUUGUUUUAUUUACUGCUAUGUUCUCCAGCAUGUAGAAGAAUUUCUUACACAUGGAACAAAAAUUGAACAACUAAUUUUUAGAUAAAAAGGCUCAGAGGAAAUGAACCCAACUAGCAUCCAUGAAGAUGUGGGUUCGAUCCCUGGCCCUCACACAGUGGGUUAAGGAUUCGGAGUUGCCAUGAGCUGCAGUGUAGGUCACAGACGUGGCUCAGAUCUGGCAUUGCUGUAGCUGUGAUGUAGGCUGGCAGCUAUAACUUGGAUUAGACCCCUAGCCUGGGAACUUCCAUAUGCUACAGGUGUGGCCCUAAGCACCAAAAGAAAAAAAAA